GGGUACAUUGCCGGUUCCAUAUGAACAAACAUAAAAACACCGAAACCCCAUAUGGCCAUUAUGCCGAUCCUAGCCUAGCUUGGCGAGGACAUCGCCAAGAGCAGAUUUGGUCAACGUGUAGUACUUCUCCGCCUCUUCGGGGCUCUUGAUCUUGGCUGCAUGGUCAAGCCCGUCAAUGGUGGCGAAGAGCUUGCCGGUGAGGUCCUUGAGGCCCUUCUUCUCGUCCUUGGGCUUGGAGUUGAUGACGGUUUUGAGGUCGUAGCGCAGGUAGGAGGCCCUGAGGCGGAGGUCGUCCCUGACGAACGGCCACUGCUUCUUCUCGAUGAGCGGCUUGAGGUUGAUGAUGUCCUGGGCCGACUCCUUCGCCCUCGCCGCCGCCUCCGCCGGCGGCAGCGGCUGCAGGUAGAACCUUUCCCUCAGCGGCAGGUCCGUGUCCCUCGCCUGGUCCGAGUUCAGCGUCCCAGGGAGUCCACCGGAGGGCGGUGGCGGGGGGCCGAGCUUGAUGGGCUUGGCGGCCUCGGCGAGCGCCGCCUGCGCGAGGGCGCCGCCGGCGAUCCCGGUGGCGACGAGGCCGAGCACGGCGCGGCGGCCGGUCUGGACGUCGGCGGCGGCGGCGUCGGCCCUGACGACGGCGAGCCUGGACCUGCCGCCGGCGCGCCUGGGCCCGGCCGGCAGCUGCACGCCCUGCGACAGCCCGGUCAUGGACGCCAUUGCCUGUGCCAUCUCUCAACCUCAGCUCAGACCUCACCUGACUAUAAGCUGAGAAUUUC
rnacentral:misc_RNA from 1 species